UAAUAAGUGUUUUAUGGCACUUUUUAAAUCCAUAUCCACCUUGUGUGCAAUGUCAGUCGAUCUUCUUCAUGGAGAUCGUACCAAACAUCGACCUUUAUCUUUUAACUCUUUGUCUGAAAAAUAUUAUGAAUAAAACAAUUCAAAAUA
rnacentral:misc_RNA from 1 species